rnacentral:rRNA from 1 species
UACGUAGGGGGCAAGCGUUGUCCGGAUUUAUUGGGCGUAAAGAGCGUGUAGGCGGCCAUACAGGUCAGCUGUGAAAACUCGAGGCUCAACCUCGAGACGUCGGUUGAAACCGUAUGGCUAGAGUCCGGAAGAGGAGAGUGGAAUUCCCGGUGUAGCGGUGAAAUGCGCAGAUAUCGGGAAGAACACCCGUGCGAAGGCGGCUCUCUGGGACGGUACUGACGCUGAGACGCGAAAGCGUGGGGAGCGAACGAG